rnacentral:rRNA from 1 species
UGCAGUCGAGCGAUGAGAUCACUUCUGGUGAAGGAUUAGCGGCGAACGGGUCAUGAACACGUGAAGAAUCUGCCUUCAACUCUGGGAUAACUCCGGGAAACCGGGGCUAAUACCGGAUAUGAGCCUUGAUCGCAUGAUCGGGGCUGGAAAGUUUUUCGGUUGAAGAUGACUUCGCGGCCUAUCAGCUUGUUGGUGAGGUAAUGGCUCACCAAGGCGACGACGGGUAGCCGGCCUGAGAGGGCGACCGGCCACACUGGGACUGAGACACGGCCCAGACUCCUACGGGAGGCAGCAGUGGGGAAUAUUGGGCAAUGGACGAAAGUCUGACCCAGCGACGCCGCGUGCGGGAUGAAGGCCUUCGGGUUGUAAACCGCUUUCAGCAGGGAAUAAGCGCAAGUGAAGGUACCUGCAGAAGAAGCACCGGCUAACUAUGUGCCAGCAGCCGCGGUAAUACAUAGGGUGCAAGCGUUGUCCGGAAUUAUUGGGCGUAAAGAGCUCGUAGGUGGUUUGUUACGUCGGUUGUGAAAUUCAGGGGCUCAACCCCUGACUUGCAGCCGAUACGGGCAAGCUAGAGUUUGGUAGGGGAGACUGGAAUUCCUGGUGUAGCGGUGGAAUGCGCAGAUAUCAGGAGGAACACCGAUGGCGAAGGCAGGUCUCUGGGCCAAUACUGACACUGAGGAGCGAAAGCGUGGGGAGCGAACAGGAUUAGAUACCCUGGUAGUCCACGCCGUAAACGGUGGGCGCUAGUUGUGCGAACCUUCCACGGUUUGUGCGACGCAGCUAACGCAUUAAGCGCCCCGCCUGGGGAGUACGAUCGCAAGAUUAAAACUCAAAGGAAUUGACGGGGCCCCGCACAAGCAGCGGAGCAUGCGGCUUAAU